rnacentral:lncRNA from 10 species
CCAGCUCAGGAUGCGGUGUUUGGAGCAGUCCUGCAGCUCUGCGAUCCACGAGGUGGUGGUGGGAGUAGCGCCAGAGUCCACUGCUUUGGAGCCUGCCCCGUCUGAUUCAGGAGUCAUGACGACCAGAAGACGCCAAAAGGUAGGGAGACUACAGAUACCGCUUGGCCUUAGGAGCUCCUUUGGCAGUUGCUCACCCAUGGUUCCCCCCAGAGGCACCCACAGCCUAGGGCUCCUCCCUCCUGCCUCUAGUUUGCUUUCCUAGGCCCAGGCCCCAAGCAGGAGGACUUGCUCUGAUUCCACUCCCCAUCCAUUGUUCUUUCCCUGUUGCAUCCAGCUGGUUACUUUCCCUUGCCCUGUCCAAAUGCCCACUUCUGGGCCCUCUUCUUCUUUUCUUAGGCUGGUCAAAACUAAGACUUCAGAUUACAAAAUGUAUGCUACAGAUUUCAUUACGGUAGAGGAAAUAUGCGACAGCUCUUGUAUUUAAACUUAAGUAGCCACAUUGGGACUCCCAAUUUCAUAUUUUUCGUUGUAGAGCAGAGCUCUCUCUCCUAAAGUAAUGGCUGAGGGUUAGAGGUACUCUUCUUGAUUCUAAUAAUAAAAAAUGAUUUCUCAUAGAGACAGGGUCUCACUGUGUUGCCCAGGCUGGUCUCAAACCCCUGGCCUCAAGUGAUUCACUCACGUUGGCCUCCCGCUUUGUUGGGAUGACAGGCAAGAACCACCACACCUGGCCUUGGGAGCUGCUCCUGCUUUGUGUGUUUUGCCUGGUCUUCCUGCACAGCUGUCAGUAAGAUGCUCCUGCAGCAUAGUUCCAAAUCUUUCUGCACAAAUUUAGUGGAUGAUGUGAUUUUUUACAUGGAAUAGCCCCUUUAUUUAUUGCAGAGAAGCUGGACAAUUCACACUUAGUAACAUAUGGCCUAGCAAAUUUCAUUUCGUGAUCACCACACCUGUUAAAAGGUGAUGCUUGUGGUCUAAAUAUGCAGAUUCCUCAUCAUCCUCAAGGAAAAGGGAACCACUGCAAGAAAACCUGGGAGGGAGUUUAGGAUUGUCCUGAGGCAGUGCAAGCCACUGAAAUUCACACACAAGGGGUUAGAAAAGAGAAUCCACAUGUUCUCAUCUCUCCAUGUUCUGGGUAUAAUUUGGUCCUCCUUAAAUUGCACCAUUUUUGGCGUUAGAGAAAACUGGAUUUGAAUACCACUUCCAUCACUCUUUAUGAUGUGAUGGUGAAUGUGUUUUUAACUCAUCUGAGCCUCAGUUUGCUCAUCUAUAGAAGAUGUGAUUGUUGUAAGGCUUCCAUAAGGUAAGUGUGUAAAAACCAUGGCAAAAUGCUUGUAAUUUAAAAGAGAGGGUUAUUAUGAGGCUUCUAUAAGGUAAGUGUGUAAAAGUCUGGACAAAAUGUCUACUAUUUUGUAAGUGUUCAAUAUGUGGAUAAAGUGGAUUAUCUUUCUCUCCUUUUUAGACCACAAAUUUUUAGACCAAGUUUAUAAAAUUAGGGAUACUCCUAUUUCUUAGACAAUCAAACCAAUGAUCAGAAAGACUAGAUAAAUCACCAUAGUCACAAAGCAGUUCACAAUGCAUUUACUGGGUAAUUUCUAGUUAACAGUAGCAAUGAUGAUCACAUUGAAAAUCUUGUAUUUUGUGGUGGUUUUCUGUUACGUAAGCCUCUUGCUUUGUUGAAACCAUAGAUUCUAAGCUGCUUUGUCAAAGUGAUCAUUAGAAAAAUGUGAUGUAGUGUGUAAAUGUUAGAAAAUUUCUCCUGUUAGUCUUGCUAAUUUGAUUGAACAUGUGUGUCAUUUUCAAAAAUGUAAAUCAAAUAUAUGUGAAUGGGAUAUAUAUGUAUACAUAUGAAAUAUAACUUGAAUUAGAGAGUAGGCUUAGCUCAUGGCAAUGUUUUUUCUGAAAGCACCUGCAGAAAUCUCUCUUAUUUCUAGUUUGUUGAUGUUUCAGAGAUUAUGGAGAAAUGGCGGUUCUAUGAAUCUCAGACACUGCAUGAGGCAGAUUUGGUUUCAGUAAUUUUAGCAUCAUUCAUUGUAAGGUGAUGAUCCCUAGGAACUUCAUCACAGUGAGAAACCUGAAAGGUCCUAGCAGCCAGCAUGAAUGAAAGGUGGGGCGGGGCUGCUGGCAGGGCAGGGCCUUGUGAGCCAUAUGCCUGUGCUCUCAAGUUCCAGGAUUGUGGGGAUGCAUGCAGGGGAUUCUGGACCUGAUUGUUUCCUCUGAACCAGGAUGUGGUCUGGUUGGCAGGGCAACUGGCCUUCACUUGGUGGCCUUCAGUGGAUGCCCACAUUGGUUGCCUUCGGUUAGUGCACUCAGUUGGUACCCUCAGUUGUUUCUCUUCAGUUGGUGGUCUUCAAUUGUUGGGCAGUGGCAGAAGGAGGAUGAAUCCGUUUGUGCUCUCUCCUCCCCCAGUCACAGCUCUCAGGCUUGUUGCCCCCAGGCCCUCCUUGGUAUUGAAGGUCUGCCGCCAUGAUACGUAAUCUAAAAAUGAAGUGCCCUGUGAUGCAGUAAUUCUACUUCUCCU